CCCGGCCCCGCCUCCCGUGCGCUCGGCUCCUCUGCGCCGCGCGCUCCCUGCUGUUGCCUGCCUCGCCGCGGCCCAAGCGUCGUUCUGCAGCGCGGGCCCCGCACGGGCGGUUGCCGGGCGCCAUCCUUGGCGGCAGGGGAGGGCCGAGACCACUGGGGAAGCUAGCGAGCCCCUUCGGCGGGGGCAGGAGUAUCUCCUGCCCUCUGGCCGCCCAGGGGCGGUGAGGCGGAAAGCUUCAAACCGGCCGCUGCGACAGGCUGCCGGGGUGCAGGAGGCGAGCCGGGGCCGGGCAGCCCCAGGGAGUUAGCCGAGAACGGACGGAAGAAUGUCAACUGCCACUGUUUCUCCAGGGUUGCCCUUUCUUCUGCUGCAACAGCACAGGACAGAUGGAAAGGAUCUGGAGUGCUCUGCGAGUACAAGGCCUUGCCGUGAAGCAUCAGCAGCCUCGUCACUAGUGAUGGCCAGCCCUGAUGUGGUUUUAGUGAGUUGUGGCUUCCAAGAAUGUCCUUUUUCUGUAAUCUACAAUGUGUAGUUUUGACCUCAGUCGCAAAGAGAUUCUCAGAAAUGGAAUUGUUUCUCAUUCAGAGUAGUGGCCUUUUAGAAUUUACAACCUCACUUGCAUUGUUUGAACUGCAACUUCCAAAUAGCUCUAGCAUACUAUUUAUUAGGUGUACUUAAGCAGUUAGGUAUUUGUUGUACGUGUUUAAAAAAAGGCGACUGAACAUCAGAGGGGUUUCCCCUGCUUUUUAGGAGUGCUCUGGAGUACUUGAUUUCUGCCUGGCUUUCAGUGGUGCAUUUCUCCGGCAGUCCGGUAGCAUCUCUUUUGGGCAGUGCCAACGGGCAGAUGUCCCUCCUCCUUGGGUAGGACAGAAAAAAGCCCCUGGUCAAAUGAUACCUGUGUGUUUUGGAGACGGAGAGCACAAUGGUAUCAGUGCACAGCUGUGCAAGCUCAAUUAGUGCCAAAGGAAA